rnacentral:rRNA from 1 species
GAGUUAUCUGAACCUUCGGGGAACGAUAACGGCGUCGAGCGGCGGACGGGUGAGUAAUGCCUAGGAAAUUGCCCUGAUGUGGGGGAUAACCAUUGGAAACGAUGGCUAAUACCGCAUGAUGCCUACGGGCCAAAGAGGGGGACCUUCGGGCCUCUCGCGUCAGGAUAUGCCUAGGUGGGAUUAGCUAGUUGGUGAGGUAAGGGCUCACCAAGGCGACGAUCCCUAGCUGGUCUGAGAGGAUGAUCAGCCACACUGGAACUGAGACACGGUCCAGACUCCUACGGGAGGCAGCAGUGGGGAAUAUUGCACAAUGGGCGCAAGCCUGAUGCAGCCAUGCCGCGUGUAUGAAGAAGGCCUUCGGGUUGUAAAGUACUUUCAGUCGUGAGGAAGGCGGCGUCGUUAAUAGCGGCGUUGUUUGACGUUAGCGACAGAAGAAGCACCGGCUAACUCCGUGCCAGCAGCCGCGGUAAUACGGAGGGUGCGAGCGUUAAUCGGAAUUACUGGGCGUAAAGCGCAU